GCCUACGGGGCGCAGCAGUGGGGAAUAUUGCACAAUGGGGGAAACCCUGAUGCAGCGACGCCGCGUGAGUGAAGAAGUGUUUCGGUAUGUAAAGCUCUAUCAGCAGGGAAGAAAAUGACGGUACCUGAUUAAGAAGCCCCGGCUAACUACGUGCCAGCAGCCGCGGUAAUACGUAGGGGGCAAGCGUUAUCCGGAUUUACUGGGUGUAAAGGGAGCGUAGACGGCAGCACAAGUCUGGAGUGAAAUGCCGGGGCUUAACGUGGGAACUGCCUUUGAAACUGGCAAACUGGAGGGUGUGAGAGGAU
rnacentral:rRNA from 1 species